rnacentral:rRNA from 1 species
GACGUAGGGGCGAGCGUUGUCCGGAAUUACUGGGCGUAAAGAGCACGUAGGCGGGAACCUAAGUCAGGUGUGAAAGAACCGUGGCUCAACCACGGGUUGGCAUUUGAAACUGGGGUUUCUUGAGGGCAGGAGAGGAAAGCGAGAAUUCCUGGUGUAGCGGUGAAAUGCGUAGAAAUCAGGAGGAAUACCAGUGGCGAAGGCGGGUCUCUGGGCAGUAACUGACGGCUGAGGAGCGAAAGCGUGGGGAGCGAACAGGAUUAGAUACCCUGGUAGUCCCUGAG